rnacentral:lncRNA from 1 species
GCCAGAUGUGAUAGCAUGUGCCUGUAAUCCCAGCUAUUCAGGAGGCUAAGGCAGGAGGAUCGCUUGAGCCCUAGAGUUCUGGGCUGUAGUGCACUAUGUGGAUCGGCUGUCCGCACUCAGUUUGGCAUCAAUAUGGUGACCUCCUGGGAGCAAGGGACCACGAGGUUGCCUAAAGAUGGGUGAACUGGUCACGGUCGAAAAUGGAGCAGGUCAAAACUUCUAUGCUGAUCAGUAACAGGAUUGUGCCUAUGAAUAACCACUGCACUCAAGCCUGGGCAACAUAGCGAGACUCUGGUC